rnacentral:rRNA from 1 species
GACGAACGCUGGCGGCGUGCUUAACACAUGCAAGUCGAACGGAAAGGCCCUGCUUUUUUGGGGUGCUCGAGUGGCGAACGGGUGAGUAACACGUGAGUAACCUGCCCUCGACUUUGGGAUAACUUCAGGAAACUGGGGCUAAUACCGGAUAGGAGCUCCUGCUGCAUGGUGGGGGUUGGAAAGUUUCGGCGGCUGGUGAUGGUCUCGCGGCUUAUCAGCUUGGUGGUGGGGUAGUGGCUUACCAUGGCUGUGACGGGUAGCCGCCCUGAGAGGGUGACCGGCCACAGUGGGACUGAGGUACGGCCCAGACUGCUACGGGCGCAAGCAGUGGAAGAUAUUGCACGAUGGGCGGCAGCCGGGAGCAGGAACGCCGCGUGGGAGAGGACGGCCUUCCGGGUGUAAUGCGCUUUCGCCUGUGACGGAGCGUGAGUGACGGUAAUGGGUAAAGAAGCAACGGCUAACUACGUG